GACGAACGCUGGCGGCGUGCUUAACACAUGCAAGUCGAACGGUAAGGCCCUUCGGGGUACACGAGUGGCGAACGGGUGAGUAACACGUGGGUGAUCUGCCCUGCACUUCGGGAUAAGCCUGGGAAACUGGGUCUAAUACCGGAUAGGACCACUGCCUGCAUGGGUGGUGGUGGAAAGCUUUUGCGGUGUGGGAUGGGCCCGCGGCCUAUCAGCUUGUUGGUGGGGUGAUGGCCUACCAAGGCGACGACGGGUAGACGGUCUGAGAGGGUGACCGGCCACGCGGGGACUGGGAUAGGGCCCAGACUCCUACGGGGGGGAGCAGUGGGGAAUAUUGCACAAUGGGGGCAAGCCUGAUGCAGCGACGCCGCGUGAGGGAUGACGGCCUUCGGGUUGUAAACCUCUUUCAGCACCGACGAAGCGCAAGUGACGGUAGGUGCAGAAGAAGGACCGGCCAACUACGAGCCAGCCGCCGCCGUAA
rnacentral:rRNA from 1 species